ACACUCCACUCAGACAAUGCCCAGACCUCCAGAAACCAUGUGUCAAGCUCGGAUUGCCUUAGACAGGUGCAAUUUAAGAACAGCUUUCAUCCUCUUUUCUCUCAUAUUGUCACACUAUGUGUUCUGACUUCUGGCUCCUUUCCUCACAAGAAGCUCACCCAGCUGGAACUCUUAUGGGACCUUGGCACCAGAGACCACAAAUUCCUCUUUGAAGUUUUCUAACAGCAACAAUGAGUUUCGCUCUGUCGCCCAGGCUGGAGUGCAGUGGCGCGCGAUCUCGGUUCACUGCAAGCUCCACCUCCCGGGUUCACGCCAUUCUCCUGCCUCAGCCUCCUGAGUAGCUGGGACUACAGGCGCCCGCCACCACACCCAGGAAUCCAACUUGCUGUUUGCUAUCACAUGUGCUAUACAUGCUGUUGAUGAAACUGCUAAAGGGGCUGAAUGUGACUGACGUCUUUGGAAGGAUGAGACUUAGCGUGCCUGUACAGUUGUGUCCAAAUGCUGUCCUCAUCUCCCAAUGAAAAGAGCUGUGGCAAUUCCUUGAACCACACUGAUUGCUAUAAAGUGGAAGAGGAAUAGAUUGAAUUUUGGGGAGUCAACUACAAUGUGUACUACAGGAACAAAACCCAUCAGAAGAUGUCAGAAGAUAAGGAUUUUUGUCCUGAUGCUACACUUACCAGCUGUCCCUCAGUGUUCUACUUCUUAAAAAAAGAGAGAUGGAUAAACAGAGGCAACCCGAGGAUAAAGGCCUUGCUCAGUGUCACACAUUUCAGUCACUAAAUAAGACACAAUGGAUGCCAGUAUUCUCAUCCCCUCACAAAUAAAGAGCCUUCAAGCUCUUGCAGUCAACAAGAACUUUUGGAAUGAUUUCACUGCCUGAAAAGGCAGAUACAUAGGUGACACCCACAAAUAGGAAGAAAAUCAACCUGAACCUGAGUGUGUGGGCUCACUGACUCUAAGCAGUAGAGACAGAAGAAAAAGUUUUAGCAAAGAAGGGUUCUGAAAGAAAAUAAAUAUAGCUCGUUAUCAAGUGCUGUUUUUACACAGUAAAACAUGGGCAAAAUUACUCUUCUUUAAGUAGUAAUUCUUAUCUCUUGAUUAAGUCACCUACUCAUUCAUUUAAUAAAUACAUACUGAUUGUUUUC
ensembl:lncRNA LUCAT1 lung cancer associated transcript 1